GGACUACAAGGGUAUCUAAUCCUGUUCGCUCCCCACGCUUUCGCGUCUCAGCGUCAAUACCGUCCCAGAGAGCCGCCUUCGCCACGGGUGUUCUUCCUGAUAUCUGCGCAUUCCACCGCUACACCAGGAAUUCCGCUCUCCUCUUCCGGAUUCUAGCCAGGUAGUUUCUCACGACAGCUUGCGGUUGAGCCGCAAGAUUUCACGCGAGACUUACCAAGCCGCCUACACGCUCUUUACGCCCAAUGAUUCCGGACAACGCUUGCCCCCUACGUAUUACCGCGGCGGCUGGCAC
rnacentral:rRNA from 1 species